rnacentral:tRNA from 2 species
CAAACUAUAGCUAAAUAGUAUAGCAUCUCCCUUACACCGAGAAGUUGUCAGUGCAAAUCAGACCUGUUUGA